rnacentral:rRNA from 1 species
CCCUUAGAUGUCCGGGGCCGCACGCGCGCUACACUGAUAAUGUCAACAAGCUUUACCUUGGCCGAUAGGUCUGGGCAAUCUUCGAACUAUUAUCGUGAUGGGGCUAGAUUAUUGCAACUAUUAAUCUUAAACGAGGAAUUCCUAGUAAGCGCGAGUCAUCAGCUCGCGUUGAUUACGUCCCUGCCCUUUGUACACACCGCCCGUCGCUCCUACCGAUUGGAUUGGCUGGUGAAGCGUUCGGAUUGUGGGUUCGGAGCGGUUCGCCGUUCUGGGCUUGCGAGAAGUUCGUGAAACCCUCCUAUCUAGAGGAAGGAGAAGUCGUAACA